rnacentral:rRNA from 1 species
CGAACGAAGCGCUUUGGAUGGAUUUCUUCGGAUUGAUAUCCUUAGUGACUGAGUGGCGGACGGGUGAGUAACGCGUGGGUAACCUGCCUCAUACAGGGGGAUAACAGUUAGAAAUGGCUGCUAAUACCGCAUAAGCGCACAGUACCGCAUGGUACCGUGUGAAAAACUCCGGUGGUAUGAGAUGGACCCGCGUCUGAUUAGCUAGUUGGCAGGGUAACGGCCUACCAAGGCGACGAUCAGUAGCCGACCUGAGAGGGUGAUCGGCCACAUUGGGACUGAGACACGGCCCAAACUCCUACGGGAGGCAGCAGUGGGGAAUAUUGCGCAAUGGGGGAAACCCUGAUGCAGCGACGCCGCGUGAAGGAAGACGUAUUUCGGUAUGUAAACUUCUAUCAGCAAGGAAGAUGAUGACGGUACUUGACUAAGAAGCCCCGGCUAACUACGUGCCAGCAGCCGCGGUAAUACGUAGGGGGCAAGCGUUAUCCGGAUUUACUGGGUGUAAAGGGAGCGUAGGCGGCCAUGCAAGUCAGAAGUGAAAGCCCGGGGCUCAACCCCGGGACUGCUUUUGAAACUGUAAGGCUAGAUUGCCGGAGAGGUAAGCGGAAUUCCUAGUGUAGCGGUGAAAUGCGUAGAUAUUAGGAGGAACACCAGUGGCGAAGGCGGCUUACUGGACGGUGAAUGACGCUGAGGCUC